UAUAUGUGAUGAAGCAUAUAAAGCACUAAAAUUGGAAUGAUACAGACAAGAUUAGCAUGGCCCCUGUUCAUGGAUUGCAUGCAAAUUCACGAUGCCUCUCUCUACUUUU